rnacentral:rRNA from 1 species
CUGUGACUGAGCGGCGGACGGGUGAGUAACGCGUGGGGAACCUGCCCUGUACCGGGGGAUAACAGACAGAAAUGUCUGCUAAUACCGCAUAAGCGCACGAGAAGGCAUCUUCUUGUGUGAAAAACUCCGGUGGUACAGGAUGGACCCGCGUUGGAUUAGCCAGUUGGCGGGGUAACGGCCCACCAAAGCGACGAUCCAUAGCCGGCCUGAGAGGGCGACCGGCCACAUUGGGACUGAGACACGGCCCAGACUCCUACGGGAGGCAGCAGUGGGGAAUAUUGCACAAUGGAGGGAACUCUGAUGCAGCGACGCCGCGUGAGUGAAGAAGUAUUUCGGUAUGUAAAGCUCUAUCAGCAGGGAAGAAGACGACGGUACCUGACUAAGAAGCCCCGGCUAACUACGUGCCAGCAGCCGCGGUAAUACGUAGGGGGCAAGCGUUAUCCGGAUUUACUGGGUGUAAAGGGAGCGUAGACGGUUCGGCAAGUCUGAAGUGAAAGGCGGGGGCUCAACCCCCGGACUGCUUUGGAAACUGUCGGACUAGAGUACCGGAGGGGUAAGCGGAAUUCCUGGUGUAGCGGUGAAAUGCUUAGAUAUCGUGAAGAACUCCGAGAGCGAAGGCAGGCAUCGGGUAUAUAACUGACGCUGAGGCUCGAAAGUGCGGGUAUCGAACAGGAUUAGAUACCCUGGUAGUCCGCACAGUAAACGAUGCACACUCGCGGUAUAUGAAUUGUUUGUAUGUCGCUUAGCGAAAGCGUUAAGUGUGCCACCUGGGGAGUACGCCGGCAACGGUGAAACUCAAAGGAAUUGACGGGGGCCCGCACAAGCGGAGGAACAUGUGGUUUAAUUCGAUGAUACGCGAGGAACCUUACCCGGGCUUGAACUGCUGGGGGAUAUGGUAGAGAUGCCAUAGUCUUAGGACCCCAGUGGAGGUGCUGCAUGGUUGUCGUCAGCUCGUGCCGUGAGGUGUCGGCUUAAGUGCCAUAACGAGCGCAACCCUUUCCGUCGUUUGCCAUCAGGUUAUGCUGGGCACUCCGGCGGUACUGCCACCGUAAGGUGUGAGGAAGGUGGGGAUGACGUCAAAUCAGCACGGCCCUUACGUCCGGGGCUACACACGUGUUACAAUGGGUGGUACAGAGAGUCAAUCCCCAGCAAUGUGGAUUUAAUCAAUAAAGCCAUCCUCAGUUCGGAUUGGGGUCUGCAACCCGACCCCAUGAAGCUGGAUUCGCUAGUAAUCGCACAUCAGCCAUGGCGCGGUGAAUACGUUCCCGGGCCUUGUACACACCGCCCGUCAAGCCAUGAAAGCCUGGG